UGAAUAUAUCGGUUCUCGUUAGAUCACCGAAGUCAAGCAUCAUUGGGCGCGGUCAGUACUUGGAUGGCUGACCACCUGGGAAAACUGCGUGCCGUU
rnacentral:rRNA from 1 species